rnacentral:rRNA from 1 species
AGCGAACGCUGGCGGCAGGCCUAACACAUGCAAGUCGAGCGCCCAGCAAUGGGAGCGGCAGACGGGAGAGUAACACGUGGGAACGUGCCUUUUGGUUCGGAAUAACUCAGGGAAACUUGAGCUAAUACCGGAUAAGCCCUUACGGGGAAAGAUUUAUUGCCAAAAGAGCGGCCCGCGUCCGAUUAGCUAGUUGGUGAGGUAAUGGCUCACCAAGGCGACGAUCGGUAGCUGGUCNGAGAGGAUGACCAGCCUCAUUGGGACUGAGACACGGCCCAAACUCCUACGGGAGGCAGCAGGUGGGGAAGUAUUGGACAAUGGGCGCAAGCCUGAUCCAGCCAUGCCGCGUGAGUGAU